rnacentral:RNase_P_RNA from 4 species
AUGCUGAGGUAAUCGCUGCCGAUGGCAGAGGAAAGUCCAUGCUCGCACAAGCUGAGAUUGCUUGUAGUGUUCGUGCCAGACGAAAUCAUAAGUCUGGGUAGUGCCAAGCACUAACGGCAGAGAAAAGACCUGUGUCCCGGAUGGGAUAUGGUCUGACUAUCUUGAAAGUGCCACAGUGACGGAGCCGAAGUAGAAAUACUUCGGGUGGAACGAGGUAAACCCCUCGAGCGAGCAACCCAAACUUAGGUAGGGGCACUCUUUCGAAGGAAUGAAACGGAGAAAGAGGCCGGCAUCGCCGGCAGAUAGAUGAUUACCACCGGAGUACGAGGUUUGACCACCGCCGGCAGUACAAAGGUACAGAACAUGGCUUACCAG